rnacentral:rRNA from 1 species
AUACGUAGGUGGCAAGCGUUGUCCGGAAUUAUUGGGCGUAAAGCGCGCGCAGGCGGUCCUUUAAGUCUGAUGUGAAAGCCCACGGCUCAACCGUGGAGGGUCAUUGGAAACUGGGGGACUUGAGUGCAGAAGAGGAAAGUGGAAUUCCAAGUGUAGCGGUGAAAUGCGUAGAGAUUUGGAGGAACACCAGUGGCGAAGGCGCCUUUCUGGUCUUUAACUGACGCUGAGGCGGGAAAGCGUGGGGAGCAAACAGGAUUAGAUACCCUGGUAGUCCACGCCGUAAACGAUGAGUGCUAAGUGUUAGGGGGUUUCCGCCCCUUAGUGCUGCAGCUAACGCAUUAAGCACUCCGCCUGGGGAGUACGGUCGCAAGACUGAAACUCAAAUGAAUUGGCGGUG